rnacentral:rRNA from 1 species
AACGUACGCUGGCGGCAUGCCUAACACAUGCAAGUCGAACGAGACCUUCGGGCCUAGUGGCGCACGGGUGCGUAACGCGUGGGAACCUGCCCUUAGGUUCGGAAUAACUCCUCGAAAGGGGUGCUAAUACCGGAUAAUGUCCUCGGACCUAAGAUUUAUCGGCUUUGGAUGGGCCCCCGUUGGCUUAGCUAGUUGGUAGAGUCAAAGCCUACCAAGUCUACGAUCCAUAGCUGGUCUGAGAGGAUGAUCGGUCAGACUGGGGUUGAGACACGGCCCAGACACCGACGGAGGGCAGCAGUGGGGAAUACUGGACAAUGAGCGAAGGCCUGGUCCCGCAAAGCCGCGUGAGUGGUGGAGGCCUUAGGGAUGUAAGGCUCUUUUACCGAGAUGGUAAUGAAAGUACCGGGAGAAUAAGCUCCGGCUAACUCCGUG